UAGGGAAUAUUGGUCAAUGGGCGCAAGCCUGAACCAGCCAUGCCGCGUGCAGGAAGACUGCCCUAUGGGUUGUAAACUGCUUUUGUACGGGAAGAAUAAGAGCUACGUGUAGUUCGAUGACGGUACCGUACGAAUAAGGAUCGGCUAACUUCGUGCCAGCAGCCGCGGUAAGACGAAGGAUCCAAGCGUUGUCCGGAUUUACUGGGUUUAAAGGGUGCGUAGGCGGGGAAUUAAGUCAGUGGUGAAAGCUGGUAGCUUAACUAUCAAAUUGCCAUUGAAACUGAUUUUCUCGAGUGCGGUUGAGGUGACUGGAAUGUUACAUGUAGCGGUGAAAUGCUUAGAUAUGUAACAGAACACCAAUUGCGAAGGCAGGUCACUAAGCCGUAACUGACGCUGAGGC
rnacentral:rRNA from 1 species